CAGCUAGUUGGCGGGGUAGUGGCCCACCAAGGCCACGAUCGGUCGGGGACCUGAGAGGGCGAUCCCCCACACUGGCACUGAGAUACGGGCCAGACUCCUACGGGAGGCAGCAGUAGGGAAUAUUGGGCAAUGGAGGCGACUCUGACCCAGCCAUGCCGCGUGCAGGAAGAAGGCGCUACGCGUUGUAAACUGCUUUUUUUCGGGAAGAAAAAGCUUCUGCGGAAGUCACUGACGGUACCGAAGGAAUCAGCACCGGCUAACUCCGUGCCAGCAGCCGCGGUAAUACGGAGGGUGCAAGCGUUGUCCGGAUUCAUUGGGUUUAAAGGGUGCGCAGGCGGGAGAUUAAGUCAGGGGUGAAAGACGGUUGCUCAACAAUCGCAGUGCCUUUGAUACUGGUUUUCUUGGGUGACCUUGAGGUAGGCGGAAUGGGGGGUGUAGCGGUGAAAUGCAUAGAUACCCCCCAGAACUCCGAUUGCGAAGGCAGCCUACUGGAGGUUCACCGACGCUCAUGCGCGAAAGCGUGGGGAUCAAACAGGAUUAGAUACCCUGGUAGUCCA
rnacentral:rRNA from 1 species